UCCGGGUUCAUCUGACACCGGGUGCGUCCACCAUGCCACCCAAGUUCGACCCCAACGAGAUUAAAGUUGUGUACCUGCAGUGCACAGGCGGCGAGGUGGGUACCACAUCCGCCCUGGCCCCCAAGACCGGCCCCCUGGGUCUGUCUCCGAAGAAGGUGGGAGAUGACAUUGCCAAGGCCACCGGGGACUGGAAGGGCCUGCGGAUCACGGUGAAGCUGACCAUCCAGAACUGACGAGCGCAGAUCAAGGUGGUGCCGUCGGCCUCUGCCCUGAUCAUCAAGGCCCUCAAGGAGCUGCCCAGGGACCACAAGAAGCAGAAGAACAUCAAACACAGAGGGAACAGCACAUUUGAUGAAACUGUCAGCAUCACUAGGCAGAUGCGCCACCGAUCCUUAGCCAGAGAACUUUCUGGAACCAUCAAAGAGAUUCUGGGGACUGCCCAGUCAGCGGGCUGCAAUGUGGAUGGCCACCACCCACACAACAUCAUAGAUGACAUCAACACUGGUGCAGUGGAAUGCCCAGCUAGCCAAGAGAAAUUUUUUCAAAAAAGGAUCAUCUGGCAACCAAAAAAAAAAAAAAAAGAAGAAGAAGAAGAAGAACCAGCUAUUCUUGGGGGCGCACGCCGGGCCUUUAGUCAGAAGGGCGAGAACUACAAGACUCGGCUGCCCCAGCGCACCGAGCUCGAUCACGUGGCAGGGGACCGACCGGGCGUGCGUGCCGCCGUUGAUCCGGUGCUGCAGUGA